UACGUAGGCAGCGAGCGUUGUUCGGAGUUACUGGGCGUAAAGGGCUCGUAGGUGGCCAACUAAGUCAGACGUGAAAUCCCUCAGCUUAACUGGGGAACUGCGCCUGAUACUGGAUGGCUUGAGUUUGGGAGAGGGAUGCGGAAUUCCAGGUGUAGCGGUGAAAUGCGUAGAUAUCUGGAGGAACACCGGUGGCGAAGGCGGCAUCCUGGACCAAUACUGACACUGAGGAGCGAAAGCGUGGGGAGCGAACAGG
rnacentral:rRNA from 1 species